rnacentral:rRNA from 1 species
AGUGAACGCUGGCGGUAGGCCUAACACAUGCAAGUCGAACGGCAGCACAGUAAGAGCUUGCUCUUACGGGUGGCGAGUGGCGGACGGGUGAGGAAUACAUCGGAAUCUACUUUUUCGUGGGGGAUAACGUAGGGAAACUUACGCUAAUACCGCAUACGACCUACGGGUGAAAGCAGGGGAUCUUCGGACCUUGCGCGAUUGAAUGAGCCGAUGUCGGAUUAGAUAGUUGGCGGGGUAAAGGCCCACCAAGGCGACGAUCCGUAGCUGGUCUGAGAGGAUGAUCAGCCACACUGGAACUGAGACACGGUCCAGACUCCUACGGGAGGCAGCAGUGGGGAAUAUUCGACAAUGGGCGCAAGCCUGAUCCAGCCGUACCGCGUGGGUGAAGAAGGCCUUCGGGUUGUAAAGCCCUUUUGUUGGGAAAGAAAAGCAGCAGGUUAAUACCCCGCUGUUCUGACGGUACCCAAGGAAUAAGCACCGGCUAACUUCGUG